UUGCCAGCCCGCUCAGAAACUUAAAGGAAUUGACGGGGCCCGCACAAGCGGUGGAGCAUGUGGUUUAAUUCGAUGAUACGCGAGGAACCUUACCUGGGCUCAAAUGUAUGUUGACGUAUUCUGAAAGGGAUACUUCUUCGGACAAUAUACAAGGUGCUGGAUGGUUGUCGUCAGCUCGUGCCGUGAGGUGUCGGGUUAAGUCCCAUAACGAGCGCAACCCCUAUCAUUAGUUGCCAUCAGGUCAAGCUGGGGACUCUAAUGAAACUGCCUACGCAAGUAGUGAGGAAGGUGGGGAUGACGUCAAAUCAGCACGGCCCUUACGUCCAGGGCUACACACGUGCUACAAUGGCCGGUACAAAGGGCAGCUACCUGGUGACAGGAUGCUAAUCUCAAAAGCCGGUCUCAGUUCGGAUCGGAGUCUGCAACCCGACUCCGUGAAGCUGGGAUCGCUAGUAAUCGCGCAUCAGCCAUGGCGCGGUGAAUACGUUCCCGGGCCUU
rnacentral:rRNA from 1 species